rnacentral:rRNA from 1 species
AUUGAACGCUGGCGGCAUGCCUUACACAUGCAAGUCGAACGGCAGCAUGAUCUAGCUUGCUAGAUUGAUGGCGAGUGGCGAACGGGUGAGUAAUACAUCGGAACGUGCCCUGUAGUGGGGGAUAACUAGUCGAAAGAUUAGCUAAUACCGCAUACGACCUGAGGGUGAAAGUGGGGGACCGCAAGGCCUCAUGCUAUAGGAGCGGCCGAUGUCUGAUUAGCUAGUUGGUGAGGUAAAGGCUCACCAAGGCGACGAUCAGUAGCUGGUCUGAGAGGACGAUCAGCCGAACUGGGACUGAGACACGGCCCAGACUCCUACGGGAGGCAGCAGUGGGGAAUUUUGGACAAUGGGGGCAACCCUGAUCCAGCAAUGCCGCGUGUGUGAAGAAGGCCUUCGGGUUGUAAAGCACUUUUGUCCGGAAAGAAAUCGCACUUACUAAUAUUAGGUGUGGAUGACGGUACCGGAAGAAUAAGGACCGGCUAACUACGUGCCAGCCGCCGCAGUAAUAC